rnacentral:rRNA from 1 species
AUGUCUUCAUCGUCCUCCACCACGGCAUUCGAGGAUCAGCCCCCGCUCAUCAGGUGCCCGGAGUGCGGUGGGCGGGUCUUCACCUGGGUCGCUCGUUUGGGAGCGAAUGCUGGAGUUCGUUUCUACAAGUGCGUCAAUAAAGAUGCUGGCAUCUGCAACUACAUGAGGAAUAAGGAGGAGUACCUCGCAGAGCUCAGCUUCCAUUUGGGGAUGGCGCAGCGUCGAGCAAUUGUUCUGUCCGAAUCAAAGAUCAUAAAGUUCUUCGCGGAGGAUGUGCACAAGGUGUUUGGCAUACCAUGUGGCCAUCGUAGUGUUAAAGGGCGUGAUGGUUUCAUUAAGCCAGAGGCAAUAAGUUUCAUAAAGGUCCGCCGUUUGAAGAAUGAUAUGAUGGCCAAUAAUCCAAACUCGAACCUUGUUGGCUGUCAUCUAUUUCUGCAGGUCUUUUUCCUCGACAAUGUGGACCUAGGAAUUUUCAAUAAGAAGCAUAAUGUCCUUCCUCGGAUCAUGGACACAAUGAUGACUCCGGCUGGGCCAAAAAUUCCAGGGGUCAGGCUAGACAUGUCUGCAUGCAAAGGAGACAUGUCUAGAACCAGGGUUGCAUCUGAGGUACUGCCAGAUCAACAACAAGCAAAAAGGCCAAGACAUGAUGAUGAUUUGCUUGGAACACUGAAAGCGGGGAUACUUCAGUUUGCAAGGCAUACCAUGCAGGAAAUCAGCGAAAGAUUUAUUGAUCUUCCGAAUGAUGGCAGCACAACUGUGUUUGGAGAAAGGACUGCUGGACUACCAGGACGGAAAUAUGUCCACAGGCCUGGUUUUCAGACAGACCCAUGGAUCAGGGGUGUUGUCCCGUGCCCACCUCAGCCUUAUGUUUCUCAACUAUUAGAAGAGUUCUUUGCUACUGCACCGCCAGAAGUUCUUUCCAGGAACUUCCUUGUGCAUGAGAACCCAAGGUUUAUACGGAUCACUGGGCUAGCACUCAAACAACAGUUGGUUGGAGACGUGUUAAUUGAUCACGAGCUCAUGUCAGUCAUCAUCAGAAGAUAUUGCCAGGCUGAUCAGGAAGCCAAUAAACAUUCCCCAUACCUGACAUGGAGGCACCCUCUGGAGCCAGAAUUUUCAAGUCUGGUUUUAUCUGAACAAGAUUACUUGCAUACGAUGUCCAUACAGAAGGCACUAGGCGCCAUGGUACUGCAGUAUGACAUCACAUCCGCUCAGCUGUUCUUCACGCCGGUUCCACGACCUGAGGGAUGGAUUGUGAUAUUCUGGGACAUGGUUGCCCGCGUCAUAUAUGUCAUUGAUCCCAUGUACAGCAAGAACAGCCAACCACUCAUAACUGAGCCAAGAGACGAGAUCAUUGCUUGGAAGCUACAUGAUGCGUUGUUCAAUUGUUUUGCUGAGUACUAUGCUGGUUGGCCAGUCAAGAAAGAUGCAUGGAAGCUGAAGUUCCUUGCCCUUGCGGAUAGCAUUUUUAAUCGGUACAGCACUUAUGAACUAUGUCUCGAAUUACAGUAA